ACUAGUGAUUUCCGUAGGUGAACCUGCGGAAGGAUCAUUUACACGAAAUAAUCCACACAACUCUAGAACUUGAACUAGGGCGCAGGAUAUUGAUUUAUCCUGACCCAGGGGCAGUUUCUGCCAUUGUGAUCACCUCUUGUAAACCAAAAUCUGGGAUUUUUGGUCUGAAAUCAAACAAUAUAAUUUCACAACUUUUAGCGAUGGAUGCCUCGGCUCGAGUAACGAUGAAGGACGCAGCAAAAUGCGAUAAGCGCUGUGAAUGGCAGAAUUCCGCGAAUCAAGAGAAUGCUGAACGCAUACUGCACUCCCAGGUUAUUCCUGAGAGUAUGUCUGCUUCAGGGUGAAAACAUUUCAAAUGCUACCAAAUGUCCAAAUCUGCGGAUGCGUGACGGAUGGCCAGCGUCGUGGCGCGUCACUAUUCUCUCAUAAAUUUGAGUAGUGACACGCGGCAUUGAGGGUUUGUUUUGAAAUAAAGCCUGAGCUUGGUGAUGCUUAUUCAGUAUUCCAAAGUUCUAGGUUAAUAUUUUCGAGAACAAGCUCGGUGAAAGCUUUUGGCGAAAUUUCGAUUUCGUUGCUUCGCACAUGAAGUCAGACAAGGCUACCCGCUGAAUUUAAGCAUAUCA
rnacentral:rRNA from 1 species